rnacentral:rRNA from 1 species
GCUCAGUAACACGUAGUCAACAUGCCCAGGGGACGUGGAUAACCUCGGGAAACUGAGGAUAAACCGCGAUAGGUCAUCACUUCUGGAAUGGGUAAUGACUUAAAUCUAUAUGGCCCCUGGAUUGGACUGCGGCCGAUCAGGCUGUUGGUGAGGUAAUGGCCCACCAAACCUGUAACCGGUACGGGCUCUGAGAGGAGGAGCCCGGAGAUGGGCACUGAGACAAGGGCCCAGGCCCUAUGGGGCGCAGCAGGCGCGAAACCUCUGCAAUAGGCGAAAGCUUGACAGGGUUACUCUGAGUGAUUUCCGUUAAGGAGAUCUUUUGGCACCUCUAAAAAUGGUGCAGAAUAAGGGGUGGGCAAGUCUGGUGUCAGCCGCCGCGGUAAUACCAGCACCCCGAGUGGUCGGGACGUUUAUUGGGCCUAAAGCAUCCGUAGCCGGUUCUACAAGUCUUCCGUUAAAUCCACCUGCUUAACAGAUGGGCUGCGGAAGAUACUAUAGAGCUAGGAGGCGGGAGAGGCAAGCGGUACUCGAUGGGUAGGGGUAAAAUCCGUUGAUCCAUUGAAGACCACCAGUGGCGAAGGCGGCUUGCCAGAACGCGCUCGACGGUGAGGGAUGAAAGCUGGGGGAGCAAACCGGAUUAGAUACCCGGGUAGUCCCAGCUGUAAACGAUGCAGACUCGGUGAUGAGUUGGCUUAUUGCUAACUCAGUGCCGCAGGGAAAGCCGUUAAGUUUGCCGCCUGGGGAGUACGGUCGCAAG